rnacentral:sRNA from 13 species
UUGGUGCGUUUCUCAGUUAUUCGGUGCCAUUUGCUUCGAACGGUUUGGCGAUUCCUCAAAACUCAGCUCCCUAGUCACGCGACAACAACAACAACAACAACUCAUACAAAAUGAAUGAAGCCAAAAGUUUGUUUACCACCUUCUUAAUCCUGGCAUUUUUGCUGUUCUUGCUCUAUGCCUUCUACGAAGCCGCUUUCUAAAUUAUGAUUUGAAUAGUUCAAGGAUAUACUUACAUGUUGAAUUUUAAUUCCAUCAACAAUUUCUUAAAAAUAUGUUUGUUAAAACAACAAUCAAAAACAUUUACUUAUGACUAGGAUUUGUAGAACGUUACGCGUUUAAGCCGCUAGCAUUUAAUGGAUUUCUAUUAGUACCCUAAGUCAGAUGACGCCAACGCCGCAGGCAGUAAAGAGCUGCCCGGUUCGGGGGAUCGACAUCAAUGGCCUGCAACGGAGCGAGUGUGUGUAGCGUGCCGCGUUUGAUUGAGACAACGCUUCGGUCAAUUUGGGUUGCAACCACAUCUCUCUCUUAUUUUAAAAUGGCCUAAAGGCAUUGGCGUCAUUUGCUCUAAUCAUAAAUAUUAACUGGCAAUUUUUGUUUCGCAAUGGAAUUUAUUCAAUUUAUAAUUUCUAGACCAUAAUGUACAGUAUAAGUGUGUAUAGCAAACAACAGCAACAACAACAACAACAACAUCAACAACCGCAUAACGCACACAUAGGAAAAUUGUUUAUUUCAUUGUUUAACACUUUGCACACAAAUUAUGUAAGAUCUUUAUUUAAUUCUAUAUGCAUUUUUUUCGUAAAUAACAACAAGACCAACAG